CAUCGCUUUGGGAUUCCCGAGACG
rnacentral:miRNA from 1 species